UUACGGACAUUGCAAGUUGAAACACUGGUUCCCGUACGAUCACCGAAGAAGCAACGUCGAGCCUGGUUAGUAACAAGAUGAGUGACCUCUUGGAAAUUACAGGUGUUGUAAG